rnacentral:rRNA from 1 species
CAAGCGAUGGGGUGACGCAGGAAGGUAGCUGGGCCAGUCAGUGGUUGUACUGGUGUAAGAGUGUAGGCCGUGACAUAGGCAAAUCCGUGUCACAUUAAGGCUGAGACUUGAUGCAUACCCGUUGUGGGGAAUUCAGUGAUCCUAUGCUGCCGAGAAAAGCCUCUAGUGAGUUCAUACACGGCCCGUACCCCAAACCGACACAGGUGAUCAGGUAGAGAAUACCAAGGCGAUCGAGAGAACUGUGGUUAAGGAACUCGGCAAAAUGCCCCCGUAACUUCGGGAGAAGGGGGACCAUGCCCGGUGAACAUCUUCACGGUGGGAGCUGGGUGUGGUCGCAGAGACCAGAGAGAAGCGACUGUUUACUAAAAACACAGGUCCGUGCGAAGACGUAAGUCGAUGUAUACGGACUGACGCCUGCCCGGUGCUGGAAGGUUAAGAGGACCGGUUAGCCGUAAGGCGAAGCUGAGAAUUUAAGCCCCAGUAAACGGCGGUGGUAACUAUAACCAUCCUAAGGUAGCGAAAUUCCUUGUCGGGUAAGUUCCGACCUGCACGAAUGGCGUAACGACUUCUCUGCUGUCUCGACCACAGACUCGGCGAAAUUGCACUACGAGUAAAGAUGCUCGUUACGCGCGGCAGGACGAAAAGACCCCGGGACCUUUACUAUAGCUUGGUAUUGGCGUUCGAUUCGGUUUGUGUAGGAUAGGUGGGAGACUGUGAAGCAUGCACGCCAGUGUGUGUGGAGUCGUUGUUGAAAUACCACUCUGAUCGUAUUGGACGUCUAACCUCGGCCCAUGAUCUGGGUUAGGGACAGUGCCUGGUGGGUAGUUUAACUGGGGCGGUUGCCUCCUAAAGAGUAACGGAGGCGCCCAAAGGUUCCCUCAGCCUGGAUGGCAAUCAGGUUUGAGUGCAAGUGCACAAGGGAGCUUGACUGUGAGACUGACACGUCGAGCAGGGACGAAAGUCGGGACUAGUGAUCCGGCACCGGCAAGUGGAAGCGGUGUCGCUCAACGGAUAAAAGGUACCCCGGGGAUAACAGGCUGAUCUUCCCCAAGAGUCCAUAUCGACGGGAUGGUUUGGCACCUCGAUGUCGGCUCGUCGCAUCCUGGGGCUGGAGUAGGUCCCAAGGGUUGGGCUGUUCGCCCAUUAAAGCGGCACGCGAGCUGGGUUUAGAACGUCGUGAGACAGUUCGGUCUCUAUCCGCCGCGCGCGUAAGAAACUUGAGGAAGGCUGUCCCUAGUACGAGAGGACCGGGACGGACGAACCUCUGGUGUGCCAGUUGUUUCACCAGGAGCAUGGCUGGUUAGCUACGUUCGGAAGGGAUAACCGCUGAAAGCAUCUAAGCGGGAAGCCUGUUCCAAGAUGAGGUUUCUCACCACCUUGCGUGGUUAAGGCCCCCUACAGACCAUGGGGUUGAUAGGCCGGAACUGGAAGCGCAGCAAUGCGUGGAGGUGACCGGUACUAAUAGGCCGAGGGU